GACUUCAAAAUGAAGAAGAAUACUGGAGAGAAUAAAUUAUGUCUCGCUCUGGCGUAACUGUAGAAAGUAUAUAAUUAAGGUUCUAAGGUACAUAAUAUUGGUAACAUGAUUUGCUUGGGGCAAUAACCUUCAUGUCGGAAGAUCUCGUGGGGACAUUUACAUGCAUGGGUUACAAGGUCUGACUGUGAAGAGUGCUUCAUUGUUCAUCCUGCCACUAAGCAGCGUUUCACGUACCUGGAAUUGGUUGGUAUGAAGAGAACUUUAGGUACUUCUCUUUUAUUCUUUUUUGAUUUCCAUUUUCGAGUCAUUUAGAACAAAGAAUUGGAUACGAGGGUUGUUAGGUUUGAUUCUUUAUUGAUUGUGACAAUAGCAAUUUUCGGUUUCCAAAUCAUGUGUAGAAAUUUGAUGGGCAUCCUUCUUGGUUUUCCUUUUUUUAUGUUGCUUCACAUAUGUUCUUUCAAAGUACUUCAUCCACAACUACAAAUGGACUAAAGUGGGGUAUUCAACACCUUGAAGUCGUGGUGGUUUUGUUCUUUUCUUGUUAUGGUGAUCAAAUUUGUAUACCUAAGCUCUACUACAUUAUGGAAACCUUGAAGCAUUUUCCCCAAUAGAGCUUCCUGGAUACAUUCUCUUUUCUCAAAGAAGAUGCUUUGCCUCUAUUUGAUCUUCCUGUCACUACAUAAAACAUGAAUCUACCCUUUAUUUUUUGUGCAUUGUAGUUACGAGUGACUCGGCAUCAUUUCCUACAAUUUGACUAAAAUUGUUAGAUCAGCCUGCCUUGAUAUCUCGGAGUGGCUGAAUUUUUUUUAGAAUUUCUUUCUCUCAAUUCCAGUAUUGCUGCUUAUAGCAUUUUGUUUCACUCCUGGGUUUUAGAUUUCCUUAAAUUAUUUUUUGUGGUCUCCUUUUGAUAUAUUUUAGAUUCCUCUUCACUUUAUUUCACUCAUUGGCCCUAUUUUUUUAAAUUAAUAAAUAAGUGAGUCUAAUUUAUGGGUUGAGUUCCAUGACCUUAUUUACAGUUGUAAUAUUACUAUUUUAUUAUCCUUAAUACCUGGUAUGGUUAUUACGUAUUAAGCCUCCUUUAUAGAGAUGACUUUGAAAUAUUUUCUUUUAGUUAUUGAAGGGAAACUUAGUCUUAAAUUCUGAUGUUGUUUAUAUUAAUUUGAAUAAUUUUCUGUUUCAGAAAUGAGGAUAUGAUGAGAUACAUCUCUCUGGGGAUCUGGCAAUGAUUCCAAAUGAGAAGGGAUUCGUAAGGUCCCUGCUUUCAUAUAUAUAUAUAUAUUACUAGUUUAAUGUGUAUUUACUUUGUAAAUGUCUGCUCCACUCUUUAGUUAAGGUUUUUUAUAUUGUAUUAAAUUGAUUAAUCAUUGAGAAGGGGCAUUUUAGCCAGUAUUUCACUAUUGGGAGAAGAUGUCAACGUGUCCUUGCUGCAUUUCAUAUUUUGCAAAAUGCAAACCAUAAGCAUGGAUGACAUAUACAAAACAUGAUUUUACAUUGAUAUAUUUGGUAUGUAUUGUGUUUUCAUGUCUGCCUCCCUCCCUCUCUUGGCUGAAAUGACUUGAACACUUUUUUGUAUUGAUUAUUGAACCUACAAACAUAUUAUUGUUCUAUAUGCAUAAAUUUGUGGAAGGAGUUGCUAGUAAUUUGAUUCACAGAUCAUUUUAUUGCAUUAAUCACUUUGUUAAUAAUUGAACUUGCAGUGUGCGGGGUAUGAUGUUUGAAGAUUCAAAUGCUUUACCAACUUCUUUCAGUUGUUUAUACUGAUUACUACUGUGUAAGCGAAGCAGCAAGAUACUAACAGCUUUCGGUUCUUCAAUAAGAAUUUGUACAUGUAAAAGUUAAGCAGUAUUAUCCGAGACCAAUUGUAUUAUUUAUUGUCUUCGAUGAUGGAUAUCUAUCAAGUCUUCAUAUAUCAUUGUGAUAAAUUUAUCUCCAA
rnacentral:lncRNA from 1 species